AUUGAACGCUGGCGGCAUGCUUUACACAUGCAAGUCGGACGGCAGCACAGAGAGGCUUGCUUCUUGGGUGGCGAGUGGCGCACGGGUGAGUAAUAUAUCGGAACGUACCGAGUAAUGGGGGAUAACUAAUCGAAAGAUUAACUAAUACCGCAUAUUCUCUCAGGGGGAGAGCGGGGGACCUUCGGGCCUUGCGCUCUUCGAGCGGCCGAUAUCGGAUUAGCUAGUUGGUGGGGUAAAGGCCUACCAAGGCGACGAUCAGUAGCGGGUCUGAGAGGAUGAUCAGCCACACUGGAACUGAGACACGGCCCAGACUCCUACGGGAGGCAGCAGUGGGGAAUAUUGGACAAUGGGCGCAAGCCUGAUCCAGCCAUGCCGCGUGUGUGAAGAAGGCCUUCGGGUUGUAAAGGACUUUUGUCAGGGAAGAAAAGGCUGUUGCUAAUACCGAGAGGUGAUGACGGUACCUGAAGAAUAAGCACCGGCUAACUUCGUG
rnacentral:rRNA from 1 species